GACGUAGGGCGCGAGCGUUGUCCGGAUUUAUUGGGCGUAAAGAGCUCGUAGGCGGCUUGUCGCGUCGUCCGUGAAAACCCACAGCUCAACUGUGGGCUUGCGGUCGAUACGGGCAGGCUAGAGUUCGGUAGGGGAGACUGGAAUUCCUGGUGUAGCGGUGAAAUGCGCAGAUAUCGGGAAGAACACCCGUGGCGAAGGCGGUUCUCUGGGACGGUACUGACGCUGAGACGCGAAAGCGUGGGGAGCAAACAGG
rnacentral:rRNA from 1 species